UACACACCGCCCGUCACACCAUGGGAGUUGGCUUUACCUGAAGACGGUGCGCUAACCGCAAGGAGGCAGCCGGCCACGGUAGGGUCAGCGACGUGGGGUG
rnacentral:rRNA from 1 species